GUCCAUGCAAAACCCGGUGUUACAAGCAUUGUUUCAAGUGCUUAGGCAUUACAAAUCCAAAUAUAAAUCAUACCCACUAAACUCGAUGAAACUAAAGAACUUCAGCAAAAAAAGAACUUUCCCAACAAGAGAUUUGGCAACUGACUCCCUGCUUCAUUCUUCAGGAUCAUCCGAACGAACAAUGGGUUUUUGAGGUUUGCCA
rnacentral:misc_RNA from 1 species